GACGAACGCUGGCGGCGUGCCUAAUACAUGCAAGUCGAGCGGGGUUUAUGGGUAGCUUGCUACCGAUAAACCAAGCGGCGGACGGGUGAGUAACGCGUGGGCAACCUGCCCUCUAGCCUGGGAUAACAGUUCGAAAGGACUGCUAACACCGGAUAAGCUCACACUCGGACAUCCGAGAGUGAGAAAAGUUUACACUAGAGGAUGGGCCCGCGUCCCAUUAGCUAGUUGGUGAGGUAACGGCCCACCAAGGCGACGAUGGGUAGCCGACCUGAGAGGGUGAUCGGCCACACUGGGACUGAGACACGGCCCAGACUCCUACGGGAGGCAGCAGUAGGGAAUUUUCCGCAAUGGGCGCAAGCCUGACGGAGCAACGCCGCGUGAGGGAUGAAGGUUUUCGGAUCGUAAACCUCUGUCUUCAGGGACGAUAAUGACGGUACCUGAGGAGGAAGCCACGGCUAACUACGUG
rnacentral:rRNA from 1 species